ACUCCUACGGGAGGCAGCAGUGGGGAAUAUUGCACAAUGGGGGAAACCCUGAUGCAGCCAUGCCGCGUGUGUGAAGAAGGCCUUCGGGUUGUAAAGCACUUUCAGUAGGGAGGAAGGUAGUGUAGUUAACACCUGCAUUAUUUGACGUUACCUACAGAAGAAGCACCGGCUAACUCCGUGCCAGCAGCCGCGGUAAUACGGAGGGUGCGAGCGUUAAUCGGAAUUACUGGGCGUAAAGCGCAUGCAGGCGGCCUGUUAAGUCAGAUGUGAAAGCCCGGGGCUUAACCUCGGAAUUGCAUUUGAAACUGGCAGGCUAGAGUCUUGUAGAGGGGUUAGGAAUUUCAGGUGUAGCGGUGAAAUGCGUAGAGAUCUGAAGGAAUACCAGUGGCGAAGGCGGCCCCUGGACAAAGACUGACGCUCAGAUGCGAAAGCGUGGGAGCAAACAGGAUUAGAUA
rnacentral:rRNA from 1 species